GCUGUAGUGGAUUGAGCACUAGACUACUACUCUAAAGACCAGGGUUCAAAUCCCUGCUCAGCU
rnacentral:tRNA from 1 species